GAGAAGCGCGCCGCGGGGCCGCUGCGCCGCUGCACGUUUGCAGUUUGGUCUGAGCCUCCAGAACAGAGAGAACCCCAACCCCCCGUUUUGUUUUAGGAGAAAAUGGGGACGUUGUAGCGUAGAAUUACAGCACCUGUGAAAUGAGUCUUGUAGGUCCCGCGCCCCGCUGGUGCCUGACGCCCGGAUGGCGCUCGUGGACGUUUGCAGAACAGACUUGAAGUCAAGUCCCCGCGGCGCCCGCUGUUCAUUCAUUCGGCAUUGCUGAGCAUCUGCUGGGCACCAGGACUGCAACCCGUGCUGGGGACACCUACCGCCCAGGCCUGUCCCCGCCUCAGGACGCUCUCGGGGCGGCUCUUGACCUCCAGGGACCCCAGCCCCGCCCGCGGCAGCGCUCACCUGCUGGGCUGCAGGUCCGACCCUGGGCGCCUGCUGGUGCAGAACGCGGCGCCCGGGACCCGGAGAGCCAGGCUGGACGUGGCCGUGCACGGUGAUCAAGACGGCAGAGGAGAAGGGUGUGUAGCUCACCUCCUUCCACAGCACAUCAGAAUAUAUCUACACGUGGAGCAGUUCACACGGAAUACCAAAUGAAAGCUGGCGAAAGUUCUCUCAUGCAACCAGAGCUCCAAGAAAGAUCCCACAUAACCAGAACAUGAAUCGUGGACUGCCAGCUCCUGCAUGGAUUCUUUAAAGUUUGCCAAACCUCAGAGGAAAAUUCAAAUUCGUCCAUGAUUUUCCUGUAUUCAAAGGACCUGAAAUAUCCCUUCAGCACAUACGUCCCUAGAUCUUCACAUGCUUUCAGCUUAUGCAGAGAGGUUGUAGAAGCUGCCGAUAGAUCCAUUUGCUGAAUUCAUGGAGAAGCCUGCAGUUGAUGGAAGUCGUUCAGAAGAACUCCCUGCCGCUUCUGAAAGAGGACCAGAGAAAGAGCAUUUACCACAGCGUGCCGGUGAAAAUCAUCUCUGCUGGUAUUUUCAGCAAUAGCAGGGAAUAUCCUAAUUUUUUGAUUUCCACGUUUCAUGUUUUGUCCACAUUGUAAAUUAUUGAAUCAAACACAGCAUUCUUGUGAGAAUACCUCCUUCUAGCCUAUUAAUUCAUAUUUAUUUAAUCUGAUUACAAAUGUACCCAUUUAGCAGAAUUUGGCCAAUUAUUUUGGAAUUUUAAUGAUAACAAUUAAGAAUUAAAAGCUCCCUAGGAAGAAUUUGUAAAGUACAUAGCUCUGUAACUGAGGCAGAUGAAGCUACACGCACCGUGGAAUAUCGGAAAUACAGCCAGCGCGUCCUAAUUCACCGUCGUUUGGCAUAUGCUGCUUUUUAGCAAAUGCCUGCCGCAGUUUGCUUCUUGACAGUGGUGAAGACACUGGUUAUUUGUGUGAUUCAUUGCUUCCCCAGAUGACGGUAAAAUACCGUUACGGUUGCUCUGGGUGUGGCCUAGUUCAGCUUCCAGGUUAGCUUGUUUAAAUGAAGAUGAUGUUUGGUCGUAUAUAAUCAUUCUUGACUUCUUGUGUCCAUGGUUUUAAUUAUGAGAAUUGUCUUUUGUAGACAGUAUCUUCCUUGGCCCAUCAUUUUAAGCCCGUGGUGCUUAAGAAUACAAUCUGCUUUUUGAUAUGGCCUCUAAGAUCCCGUUAACUGUUGCUGAGCUAUCAUAUCAUGUCCCGUAAUAGAAAAAAGACGUCAAUUAAAGACACAAUGCUUUCUUAUGGCUUGAAAUUUUAUUUAUAAAUAUUGAAAAAGCACCUUCGGACUUAAUCAUACAUAGAUUUUUAGUUUACAUAACUUUGUGCUUAUAGAAAAAUAAAGUGUCAAUGAAAUAGAUUAGUGAAGGUAUUCGCAAAAGUUCUUUAGACUCCAAGUGCUACUCUUCUGAGUCACUUUUUAACUUGGAGUCGUCCUUGCUGUUAAGAGAGCAGGUGAUGUGGUAUUUCUCAGGAACAUCUAUAGCAGGAAUGAAAUGUGUUGGUGAUGGGCUCCUGCACACAACAUACAGCAAGCCUGCGCUGGAGUCUUGCUUCUAGAAUGUUGGUAAACAUUCUUUCUUUCCCAGCUCCUUCAACCCCUCCCUGCGCCCCUCUGUCACUGGGGGUUAAAACAGCGCUGCACCCCAUCUCUGGGGUGCUCUUCAGGACAGUGCCCGCAUUCUGUAAGUUUGGGGCUGUGCUGGAAAGACAGCUUCCAGGCUGACAAGGGUGAUGGGAAGCAUCCUGAUUUCAGGGUGUAAGCGUGGAGGCGCCCUGUGCCCCAGGGCGUCCCUCAGUGGCACACAGUGGUGUCUGCAGGCAAAACAUAAGCCAGAAAGCAAGUGCUCUGAGUUUUGUUUUGAAUGCUGAUGUAUUAUAAAGCCAAAUGUGAAGGAUUUUUAGGUCUCUGGAGAGGUUCAGUUUUCUGAGUUCCAUUUGUUUAGCUUACACAUUCUUCUGGAGGAAUUUUUUUGUGCAGAACAGUACGUUUCAGGAAAGGGUUUUGGAGGAAGGUCUUGGAGGACACAUCUUUUGGGUUUGGAGUGAGGAAGAAGGAAGGGAAGAGAAAAGACACAAACACAUUCGCGCAAAUGGUUUGACAACUGGAGACAGGAGGUUGAGUGAUUACCAGCCACCAGCGCGGUGGCGGUGGGGCCUCGCUGUGUUUUACGUGUCUUCACGUGUUGACAGCUGUCUGGCCCUGUAGACAGACUACGGAAGCAAAGGAAAAAAUCCUUCGUCGUUAGCGACAGUGGGCUGUCGCGUUCUGCGGAGCAGCACACAGGACGGUGAUAGUCAGUCAGGCUGUGCUCUGUUUGCGUGAGACGCAGAACUCGUUUAUGCCAUGGCUUUAACUUACACUUUAAUGGUGCACAUCUCAUUAGUCUAAAGCAGGACCUGCUGAAUAAGAAGCCGGACCUGGAAGCAACGUUUGAGGAAGCCGAGGUGGCAGCUCGUUCUGUGGAAUUGCUUUUGCCGAUAAUCAAGGACACCGUUGAAGAGAUAGGGAAUUGUUUACCCAGCUUGCUAGAGAAGCUAACUGAUCAUGAAAACGAAAACGCUAAUCUUAAGAAGGAGGUACUUGCAAAGGAGACCUAUAUCCAGGAACUUUCUUGUCUGUUUCAGAAUGAAAAGGCAAAUGCUCUGAAGGCGCAUCGUUUUUCACAGUCAGUAGAAGUAGUACAUGAACGACUGCAGUUCCAAAUUCAUAAAAAGGAAGCAGAGAAUGAUAAAUUAAAAGAAUACAUAAAGAGUUUAAAAGCCAAGAUAUCCGAAUGGAACUUGCAGUUGAAAAAGAGUAAGCAUGAGGCUAUAGCAGUGAAAGAAUCAAGUAGGCAAAAAACUGUUGCUCUAAAAACGGCGUCUAGAAUUUACAAGCAAAGGAUUGAACAUUUUACUGCAGACAUGGAAAACCUCACUUCCCAAAUUAGAGAGCAGGAAGCCAAGUUGUCUGAAACAAUUUCAGCUUCCAAUGCCUGGAAAAGUCAUUAUGAGGAAAUUGUGAUAGAAAAAGCUGAAUUGGAAGUUCAGGUUGAAACAGUGAAAAAGCAAAUCAUUAAUCUUUUGGAAGACCUGAAGAAAAUGGAAGACCAUGGGAAAAAUUCAUGUGAAGAAAUUCUUAGAAAACUUCACUCAAUUGAAUAUGAAAGUGAAACUCUAAAUCUUGAGAAUGCAAAGUUACAGAUACAAAAAUUGCAAGAAGCAGCUGACAUGGUGAAAAGCAGAUGUGAAAAUUUGCUACAAGAAAAUAAACUAAUAACAAAAAACAAAAACAAAAAAUUAAAGAAAGUGGGUGGGCACCAUCAUCUGAGCAGACUUUCUGCGGAAGAGGAAAAGGACCUUAUCCAGCUGAAGUGUGAAAACCUUAAACAAAAAUUAGAGCAGAUGGAUGCAGAAAACAAAGAGCUUGAACAGAAGCUGGCAGACCAGGACGAGUGUCUCAAGCGCAGUGACGCUCAGCUUAAAGAGAAAGCGGCAGAAUGCACGGCGCUGGCCAGACAGCUGGAUGCUGCUUUGGAAGAAGGAAGACAGCAGGUACACGUGGUCUUUCUCUAGAAACUUCUCCGUAGGUUUACCAAAGAGUCAUCUUUUCACACAAACAAUAUCUCAUCUUGCCAAACCUACAGUUCUCGGUAUGUCUCGGUGACAAGGUGAAGGGAGCAAUGACAUUUUUGUUUUUUUACCUGUUUUUCCCUUUUGGAGUUAAACAGGUACAUCACUGGUCCAGAGUAACUUCCCUCAAUAAAUUAAAUGAUGGUGUGUCAGGGCAAAGGGCAGAGACGGGAAGCACUGCGAAGGAGUCCCCCUCUUCUAUUUGUUUUAAAUAAAACCAAAGAAAAUAGGCAAAUUAUUGAACAUUUUGGUUUUGAUCAAGAUCUGGUGAGCCGUAAAGGUGAGUUCCCUUUUCUCUUGGCAAAUACUGCUACAUAGAUAAAUAAACGCACGAAUGAACCGCAGGAAGUGCCACGAUGCAGGGAGUACCAGGCACACCCCGGGGCGGGGGCAGGUCGUCUGGAGGGCGGGAGGAAAUGCAGGAAGAUCAGAGGUAAAUAGCAAAGGAUUUGAAAUGUCAUCUUGAAAGGACACAGGGUGGACUUUGGAGCUCACAAGAAACGGAUUUGAGUCCUGGCUCUGACACAGUAAACCCGACCCAGGACAAGCUGUGCUCUCAACUUGAGUUUCUUAAUUUUGAUAAAAUGGGGGAGAAGAGUUUCCUCAGGAGGAAACUGUACUGAAAAGGCGACGGUUGAUGCCCUGAUGACUCAGACUUCUCCCCGGAAACCUGGACUCGGGUGUCCUGGUGCUUAGGCGGCCUCUCCACGUCACACGGACACCUCGCACUCAACGCGUCCCACCCCAGCUUCCGAAUCCCGCCGUCUCACAGGCUGUCGCACCCGCGCUCUUCCCCAGGCCGGGUAAAGGCCAGUUCACGAGAGUCACACAAAGCUGAUGUCCUUGAAAUGUGGCUCUUACAGCGUAAGUGUGACAGAUAUGUUUUGACGUUUUUCUGCUUUUUUGGGCUGCACCCACGGCGUAUGGAAGUCUCCAGGCGAGGAUUCGAAUCAGAGCUAUAUAGGCCACAGUAACACCAGAUCCAAGCCACAUCUGCGACCCUACACCACAGCUCACAGCAACGCUGAAUCCUGAACCCACUGAGUGAGGCCGGGGAUCGAACCUUCAUCCUCAUGGAUACUAGUUGGGUUCGUUACUGCUGAGCCACAACAGGAACUCCUAUUUGGAUUUUUUUAGCUCUGGUAAAACAAUUUAAAUUGACAGACACAUCACUGAAUAAAAGCUGAGCAGUAAGGUCUAGGGCCAGCGUAGCAGUGAAGCCCAGAUUCCUCCCCUUGGCCUUUGGGAGAAAGUGAGACGUGCCUGCCCCGGGACUCAGCCUAAAGAGCUUAGAAACGCCAUGCUCUCGGGUCACUUCUCACAGGUGUCGAGGGUCCCCGAGAUGUGUCCACCCCUCCUUUCUUGCUCCGGUGGAGUCGGGGGCCACUCUGCUUCCGGUCACAUGGGACGUGCCAGCCCCGUCACCAUUGUCCACGCUGAGGGACCCUGAAGGGCACUGACACUUGUCCUGAGGACUGUCUCCCCCAACUCGAGCAUCCGUCGCCCACGGCCCCUGGACUCUGCGCAGGACGUCUCCUUCGUAACUUUGUAGCCGCUCAGAGUGUGGUCCUUGCUGCCAGCUUCAUGCUUCUGAGCAGGUUCCUGCCUGCACUUUGAUUCUGUGGUUCCGACCCAGCAUCCCUGCCCACAGGCGCCCACACAUCUGCAUCCUGACUUUCUGCUAAAAUAAGCCCUCAGAGCAAGGGGAAAACUCAAAUUCCUAGCACUUUGGACGUGAGUGAAAAAACCAGUCUCGUGUGUGUGUGUGUGUGUGUGUGUGUGUGUGUGAGUAGGUUGUAGGUAUGUCUGUAGGCUGUGUGUGUGUAUAGGCUGUGUGUGGGUGUAGGUUUUGUGUGUGCAGGUUGUGUGUGCACAGUGUAAAUAUCACCUGCCCGCCCCCCAGUCCUGUGCAUCCAGGUCCAUACUCAGUGCUGACUGAGAGCUUGCAGCCCAGCCCCACUCUGGACACCACUGGUGUGUGGAAUGCUCUGGAACGCGGUGGGGUUGGGGUUGGGGAUAUAGGGCACGGCAGACCCAGUCACAGAGCAGCGCAGAUAAGAAUGACUCGUCCGCUUGCUUCGGGCUCCUGUUUCAGUUCCCUCUACAGCAAGGAGAGGGCACGCUUAUCCUCUAGGUGUUUCUUUAAGCACUUUCUAAUUAAAUUGUCUAAUAUCCAAAGAGUAUCUCCUUGGAAAGAAGAGAUUCAGUGUAAUUAUGCCCAGGCUUUAAAUCGCAUCUUAACAAAAGCACAGUUAAUUAUUUUAUCCUUUUAAUUUAAAUGACAGGUUUCUGAGGAAAUGGAGAAAAUGUUAUCUCGAGAAAGGGCUUUACAAAUUAAAAUAUUAGAGCUGGAAACGGAGCUUAGAAAGAAAAUUGAAGAACAAAAUCAACUCGUUUGCAAAAUGAGCAGUAAAGCACAACAUCAGGAACUCUGUUUGAAGGAAAUACAGCAUAGUCUUGAGAAGUCAGAGAAUCAAAAUGAGAGUAUUAAGAGUUAUUUACAGUUUCUUAAAACUUCUUAUGUAACAAUGUUUGGAUAAAUUGUUGGGUUUAUUUUCUAUAAGCAGUGGGAUUUUUUUUUACUGGUAGCCUAAUAAAGAAUUAGGUAAAAAUUAAAUAAAUAUACUCUAUUGUUAUACUUCAUGAUUUAUGGGUGGUAGUAUUAGAGUUUAAAGACUUUUUAAACAUAAUUUAUUGUCCAAUUGAAACUUUUAAACAAGAUACAUGUUAGUAUUCCUUUCUUGCUGAAUAAUUUUCACUUAUCUCUGGGUUAAUGUCUAUUUAAUUUAUUUUGGUUUUUAGGAUAUUUUAUACACAGAGAAGCAGCCAGAAUCAUUUUUUGUGACGGUAGCCACCAUUCAAGUGAAUUUGUAAUAAACCCAGGCCAAUUAUGAGCAAGUACAUGAUUUUAAGUAAUUCUAUAGUUAUUUUGUAUUAGGGUCCUAUAUAUGUACAUAUUACUAUAAUAAAGGAAAAUGCUGUUAUUAAUUUU